ACGAGCGAGAGAGAGCUUGCUUUCUUGAGCGAGUGGCGAACGGGUGAGUAACGCGUGAGGAACCUGCCUCAAAGAGGGGGACAACAGUUGGAAACGACUGCUAAUACCGCAUAAGCCCACGGCUCGGCAUCGAGCAGAGGGAAAAGGAGCAAUCCGCUUUGAGAUGGCCUCGCGUCCGAUUAGCUAGUUGGUGAGGUAACGGCCCACCAAGGCGACGAUCGGUAGCCGGACUGAGAGGUUGAACGGCCACAUUGGGACUGAGACACGGCCCAGACUCCUACGGGAGGCAGCAGUGGGGAAUAUUGCACAAUGGGGGAAACCCUGAUGCAGCGACGCCGCGUGGAGGAAGAAGGUCUUCGGAUUGUAAACUCCUGUUGUUGAGGAAGAUAAUGACGGUACUCAACAAGGAAGUGACGGCUAACUACGUGCCAGCAGCCGCGGUAAAACGUAGGUCACAAGCGUUGUCCGGAAUUACUGGGUGUAAAGGGAGCGCAGGCGGGAAGACAAGUUGGAAGUGAAAUCCAUGGGCUCAACCCAUGAACUGCUUUCAAAACUGUUUUUCUUGAGUAGUGCAGAGGUAGGCGGAAUUCCCGGUGUAGCGGUGGAAUGCGUAGAUAUCGGGAGGAACACCAGUGGCGAAGG
rnacentral:rRNA from 1 species